rnacentral:lncRNA from 1 species
CCGUUAAAAAAAUAUCAGCUAAAUAAAUAUAUGUUAACUUUUUUUAUGUAACUGACACGUGUCAAAAAUAAAAAUUAAUAAUAAUAAUAAAAUUAUUUUCCUUUUUCUUGCUCUUUUCUCUCUCUUAUCUCCUUCCUCUGUUCUCUCUCAAUCUUGCUUAUCAAAUUGGGAAGACCUUGGGAUUUACAUAUCUCAAUGGUUACAUACAUCUAGAUCUCUAAAUCUAUAUAUACCUCCUUCUUCCUUCUCAUCCUUGUAUCAUUGAUCUUGCCAGAAUCUAGUUUAAGGAGGUUCUGGGCGUUGUUUCGAUGUUCUGUUCCUCCUCACUCGGCUUGAUUGGGGAUUGUAUUUUAUUCAUCUAGCUGAUUUGGUGGUUCUUAUUUACCCAUGAUUUUGAGGCUGGGUCUAUUCCAUUUGGACUAGAUCUGAAUUCUUAUUCCUUCAUGCUUAUCGAUCUUUUCGGAAUACCAAGAUCAAAUCCACAAAUUUUAUUGAAAAUCAACAAAUUCCAGAACCAAAAUGUAACGGAGCAACAAGCUACGCAACUACGAGAAAUAGAGAUAUGAGAGAGGAAGAUAGUAACGGAGGAAAAGAAAGCAUUUGAGCUGAGCAGUAGUGACUGUUUUGGGGAAUUUGGGAUUAUAAGGGGAGGGAGAG